GAUGCAGACUCCUGCCUACCCUUCCCUCCUCUCCACCUGCAUAUCUGUGACUUAUUACUCCAAUCAACUCCACCUCCCACCUGCUGUAUAACGAGACUGACAUUUGGUCCAUCCUUGCCUGAUUGUUCAGUCAUGUCCAGAGGUCCAUACCCAGCUGUAACCUGGUUCAUUGUGCCCAGCUCUUCCUUAGUUUUUGCCAUCCUUGGAUUCCUGAUUUGCUCAGCUCCUGUCGUCUUUCCUCUGAUUUCUUGCACUCCUGACCACGUCAGCCUCACCAGUAGCACCAGUGCCAUUUUGGACUUUAAUCUUUUGGACUGAAAGAUCAGUGGAUUGUUUGGUGAAAUAGCUUUUGAUUACCUUUGUUCUGAACACUGAUUUUAUAUUAAAAGAACUUUGUUAAUCCUG